UGGGGGAUAUUGCACAAUGGGCGAAAGCCUGAUGCAGCGACGCCGCGUGGGGGAUGAAGGCCUUCGGGUUGUAAACUUCUUUUGCUCUGAACAAGGCAUGCCAAUGGGUGUGUUGAGUGUAGGGGUUGAUUAGCGCCGGCUAACUACGUGCCAGCAGCCGCGGUAAUACGUAGGUCCCGAGCGUUGUCCGGAUUUAUUGGGCGUAAAGCGAGCGCAGGCGGUUAGAAAAGUCUGAAGUGAAAGGCAGUGGCUCAACCAUUGUAGGCUUUGGAAACUGUUUAACUUGAGUGCAGAAGGGGAGAGUGGAAUUCCAUGUGUAGCGGUGAAAUGCGUAGAUAUAUGGAGGAACACCGGUGGCGAAAGCGGCUCUCUGGUCUGUAACUGACGCUGAGGCUCGAAAGCGUGGGGAGCGAACAG
rnacentral:rRNA from 1 species